rnacentral:rRNA from 1 species
GCCGCCGCGGUAAUACGGAGGGUGCAAGCGUUAAUCGGAAUUACUGGGCGUAAAGCGCACGCAGGCGGUUUGUUAAGUCAGAUGUGAAAUCCCCGGGCUCAACCUGGGAACUGCAUUUGAAACUGGCAAGCUAGAGUCUCGUAGAGGGGGGUAGAAUUCCAGGUGUUGCGGUGAAAUGCGUAGAGAUCUGGAGGAAUACCGGUGGCGAAGGCGGCCCCCUGGACGAAGACUGACGCUCAGGUGCGAAAGCGUGGGGAGCAAACAGGAUUAGAUCCCUGGUAGUCCACGCUGUAAACGAUGUCGAUUUGGAGGUUGUGCCCUUGAGGCGUGGCUUCCGGAGCUAACGCGUUAAAUCGACCGCCUGGGGAGUACGGCCGCAAGGUUAAAACUCAAAUGAAUUGACGGGGGCCCGCACAAGCGGUGGAGCAUGUGGUUUAAUUCGAUGCAACGCGAAGAACCUUACCUACUCUUGACAUCCAGAGAACUUAGCAGAGAUGCUUUGGUGUCUUCGGGAACUCUGAGACAGGUGCUGCAUGGCUGUCGUCAGCUCGUGUUGUGAAAUGUUGGGUUAAGCCCCGCAACGAGCGCAACCCUUAUCCUUUGUUGCCAGCGGUUCGGCCGGGAACUCAAAGGAGACUGCCAGUGAUAAACUGGAGGAAGGUGGGGAUGACGUCAAGUCAUCAUGGCCCUUACGAGUAGGGCUACACACGUGCUACAAUGGCAUAUACAAAGAGAAGCGACCUCGCGAGAGCAAGCGGACCUCAUAAAGUAUGUCGUAGUCCGGAUUGGAGUCUGCAACUCGACUCCAUGAAGUCGGAAUCGCUAGUAAUCGUAGAUCAGAAUGCUACGGUGAAUACGUUCCCGGGCCUUGCACACACCGCCCGU